GACGAACGCUGGCGGCGUGCUUAACACAUGCAAGUCGAACGGAAAGGCCCUGCUUUUGUGGGGUGCUCGAGUGGCGAACGGGUGAGUAACACGUGAGUAACCUGCCCUUGACUUUGGGAUAACUUCAGGAAACUGGGGCUAAUACCGGAUAGGAGCUCCUGCUGCAUGGUGGGGGUUGGAAAGUUUCGGCGGUUGGGGAUGGACUCGCGGCUUAUCAGCUUGUUGGUGGGGUAGUGGCUUACCAAGGCUUUGACGGGUAGCCGGCCUGAGAGGGUGACCGGCCACAUUGGGACUGAGAUACGGCCCAGACUCCUACGGGAGGCAGCAGUGGGGAAUAUUGCCCAAUGGGCGGAAGCCUGAUGCAACCACGCCGCGUGCGGGAUGACGGCCUUCGGGUUGUAAACCGCUUUCGCCUGUGACGAAGCGUGAGUGACGGUAAUGGGUAAAGAAGCACCGGCUAACUACGUG
rnacentral:rRNA from 1 species